rnacentral:rRNA from 1 species
UACGUAGGUGGCAAGCGUUGUCCGGAUUUAUUGGGUUUAAAGGGUGCGUAGGCGGUCUAUUAAGUCAGUGCUGAAAUACUCCAGCUUAACUGGAGGGGUGGCAUUGAUACUGAUGGACUUGAGUACAGAUGAGGUAGGCGGAAUUGACGGUGUAGCGGUGAAAUGCAUAGAUAUCGUCAAGAACACCGAUAGCGAAGGCAGCUUACUGGGCUGUAACUGACGCUGAGGCGCGAAAGCUAGGGGAGCAAACGGG